rnacentral:rRNA from 1 species
CAGCCGCCCGGUAAUACGUAGGUGGCGAGCGUUAUCCGGAAUUACUGGGUGUAAAGGGAGCGUAGACGGUUAAACAAGUCUGAAGUGAAAUGCCGGGGCUCAACCCCGGAGCUGCUUUGGGAACUGUAGAACUGGAGUGUCGGAGGGGUAAGCGGAAUUCCCAGUGUAGCGGUGAAAUGCGUAGAUAUUGGGAGGAACACCGGCGGCGAAGGCGGCUUACUGGACGACAACUGACGUUGAGGCUCGAAGGCGUGGGUAGCAAACAGGAUUAGAUACCCGUGUAGUCCCUGUCUCUUAUACA